rnacentral:rRNA from 1 species
GAUGAACGCUGGCGGCGUGCCUAAUACAUGCAAGUCGAGCGAACAGACAAGGAGCUUGCUCCUUUGACGUUAGCGGCGGACGGGUGAGUAACACGUGGGUAACCUACCUAUAAGACUGGGAUAACUUCGGGAAACCGGAGCUAAUACCGGAUAAUAUUUCGAACCGCAUGGUUCGAUAGUGAAAGAUGGUUCUGCUAUCACUUAUAGAUGGACCCGCGCCGUAUUAGCUAGUUGGUAAGGUAACGGCUUACCAAGGCGACGAUACGUAGCCGACCUGAGAGGGUGAUCGGCCACACUGGAACUGAGACACGGUCCAGACUCCUACGGGAGGCAGCAGUAGGGAAUCUUCCGCAAUGGGCGAAAGCCUGACGGAGCAACGCCGCGUGAGUGAUGAAGGUCUUCGGAUCGUAAAACUCUGUUAUUAGGGAAGAACAUACGUGUAAGUAACUAUGCACGUCUUGACGGUACCUAAUCAGAAAGCCACGGCUAACUACGUGCCAGCAGCCGCGGUAAUACGUAGGUGGCAAGCGUUAUCCGGAAUUAUUGGGCGUAAAGCGCGCGUAGGCGGUUUUUUAAGUCUGAUGUGAAAGCCCACGGCUCAACCGUGGAGGGUCAUUGGAAACUGUAAAACUUGAGUGCAGAAGAGGAAAGUGGAAUUCCAUGUGUAGCGGUGAAAUGCGCAGAGAUAUGGAGGAACACCAGUGGCGAAGGCGACUUUCUGGUCUGUAACUGACGCUGAUGUGCGAAAGCGUGGGGAUCAAACAGGAUUAGAUACCCUGGUAGUCCACGCCGUAAACGAUGAGUGCUAAGUGUUAGGGGGUUUCCGCCCCUUAGUGCUGCAGCUAACGCAUUAAGCACUCCGCCUGGGGAGUACGACCGCAAGGUUGAAACUCAAAGGAAUUGACGGGGACCCGCACAAGCGGUGGAGCAUGUGGUUUAAUUCGAAGCAACGCGAAGAACCUUACCAAAUCUUGACAUCCUUUGACAACUCUAGAGAUAGAGCCUUCCCCUUCGGGGGACAAAGUGACAGGUGGUGCAUGGUUGUCGUCAGCUCGUGUCGUGAGAUGUUGGGUUAAGUCCCGCAACGAGCGCAACCCUUAAGCUUAGUUGCCAUCAUUAAGUUGGGCACUCUAAGUUGACUGCCGGUGACAAACCGGAGGAAGGUGGGGAUGACGUCAAAUCAUCAUGCCCCUUAUGAUUUGGGCUACACACGUGCUACAAUGGACAAUACAAAGGGCAGCGAAACCGCGAGGUCAAGCAAAUCCCAUAAAGUUGUUCUCAGUUCGGAUUGUAGUCUGCAACUCGACUACAUGAAGCUGGAAUCGCUAGUAAUCGUAGAUCAGCAUGCUACGGUGAAUACGUUCCCGGGUCU